rnacentral:rRNA from 1 species
AUGGAGACGGUGGAGGAGGACGUGGAGGAGUACAGCUGGAGGGAGGUGGUGCUGUUGCGCCUCAUCCUGGUGGUGCCCCAUGCCGCGCCAGAGCUCGAGCGCGAGACCGGGGAGCGGCGCCACGGUAGGGACCUCCUCAUCGUGGUCGACUUCGGCCCAAACUGCAGGAACGCCUUCUGCUGGGUGCUAGCGCACCUCUCGCGUCUCGCCGACACCCCCCACCUCGUCUACACCGUCUCCAGUUGA